rnacentral:rRNA from 1 species
ACGUUUCGAAAGGAACGCUAAUACCGCAUACGUCCUACGGGAGAAAGCAGGGGACCUUCGGGCCUUGCGCUAUCAGAUGAGCCUAGGUCGGAUUAGCUAGUUGGUGAGGUAAUGGCUCACCAAGGCGACGAUCCGUAACUGGUCUGAGAGGAUGAUCAGUCACACUGGAACUGAGACACGGUCCAGACUCCUACGGGAGGCAGCAGUGGGGAAUAUUGGACAAUGGGCGAAAGCCUGAUCCAGCCAUGCCGCGUGUGUGAAGAAGGUCUUCGGAUUGUAAAGCACUUUAAGUUGGGAGGAAGGGCAGUAACUUAAUACGUUGCUGUUUUGACGUUACCGACAGAAUAAGCACCGGCUAACUCUGUGCCAGCAGCCGCGGUAAUACAGAGGGUGCAAGCGUUAAUCGGA